rnacentral:lncRNA from 1 species
CUAUUAUUUUCUCGGGGACACCUUCAAUCUCUUCCUCCUGGGAAAAUGGCUUCCCCAUGAACUCAGCCAAUUUCUUCACGUAAAAAAGUUCAUCUUUCUUCAGCUCUUCAUACUUCAAGAACAGCAUAGUCUCGGGCCUUUCAAUGCUAGCUCUCCAGAACCCCAAGACAUGGUCCCAGUAAGGUCCAAAUGCAGACUUGCCCUGGCAGAACAGCUCUAAUUCCUCCUCCAGGGAAGGGGCCGGUUCCCUUGCAUCUGGUCCCGUAGAGAGAUGUUUCAAUGUUUGUAACAUGUGCCAAUAUGAAGUGAACGUGUCCUUUGGUUCCCUACAUAUGUAAAUAAUCUUACAUCCUGAUUCUAGUAUAGAUUUUGGCAAGGAUGUAUAAGGGAUAUGGGUGGCUAGAAGGGGGAGCUGGGGUGUUCUGUAAGAAGGAUCGUCGCCAAGAUCAACUUCCAUAUGUGGAAAGCAUUCAUGCGGAACGGUAUUAAGCAGAGGGUUUGGGGAUUGCAUAAAACGAUCUCUCGUUAAGAUGGAAAAAGCCAAGGCCUUGAGCCAUGUGGUACCUGUUUUGACAAAGCUGCACAAAAAGAUGUCCUCGGGAUUAGCCUUGAAAUGUUCCUGGAGAGUGAUGGUUGCUUCUAAGUAGACUAAAGGGAACCAAAAACCUUGGUAUUCAUAGAAGUCCAAGGAGGGAUCUAUGCCUUCUCUUUUGGGAAGAGCUGAUAUGAUCUCGGGAUAUCUCAUGUUGGUUUCCAUAGACUACUUUCUCAAAUCUUUUGAAGCUACGAUAAAUGUGGCUAUGCUGCUGGUAACGUAGCUGAAAGAGAGGUGGACUGUGCUCUCUGCUCUGUUGAAGAGGAUGAGCUGAAACUAGAAAUGCCAAUGGUUAUAUAAUUGAAUUUCUUUCUUGUCCACUGGAAAGCUGAAGAGAUUGGAAAAGAUUCGUAGAAAGACAAGCACCACGUGUUUCUCUUUCUUUUGAUUGUUUUCUUCUUGGACCUUCAAUGAUUGCUAAAAAAUGUCGAGGGCCCUCCUAUCCUAUCUGUCACGGACAUUUUCGACAAGACUUGUCAAAAAGGAAAUGAUUUAUGACUUUAAAAUGUAUAACGUACCAAGUACACUACACGUUAUUUGGACUUGCAGUAUUUUUCCAUUCAUGUAAACCACCUCAAAUACUUGCUUAUAGGGCCUGUUUGGAACCAAGUUUUUUGGCCAAGUUUUUUAGCUACUAGUUUUUUAACAACUUUAGCUACAGGAACCCAAAAAAACUUAUCAAAUUUUUUAACCUACACACUUUAAAAUAUCGGGCCUGUUUGGAACCUGAGUUUUUUGGGAGUUUGUCUAAAACUUUACUGUAGUGCACUGUAGAAGUUUUUGAAAAAAUUUUGUAGAAGUUUUUGUAAGGUGAAAAACUUUUUUGUAGAAGUUUUUGAAAUGUUACUGUAGACGUUUUUUGGAUUAUUUUUAGAGGUAUUUUUAAAACAUAUUUUUGAGUAUUUUAUAAUUUAUAAUUUUUAUAUUUUUAAACAUUUAUGCAUUUAUAAUACAUUUAUAAAUAUUUAGAAAUAAAUAUAUUUAUAUAUUUAUUUAAAAAUAUAUAAAUGUAUUAUAUUAUAUGUAAUACGUAAUAUACAUAUAUUUAUAAUUGUAUAAUUAAUAUAAAUGUAUAAAUUAUAAAUGAAUAUUAUAUAAAUGUAUAAAUUAUAAAUUAUAAAUGUAUAUGAUGAUUAUGUAUAAAUGUAUAAAUAUAAUUAAUAUAAAUGUAUAAAUGUAUUAAUAUUAUGUAUAAAUGUAUAAUUAAUAUUGUUUAUAAUUUAUAAUUUUUAUUGUUUAAAUAUUUAUAUGCAUUUAUGCAUUUAUAAAUAUUUAUUAAUAAAUAUAUUUAUAUAUUUAUAUAAAAAUAUAUAAAUGUAUUAUAUUAUAUAUAAUACAUAAUAUACAUAUAUUUAUAAAUGUAUAUAUGUAUAAUUAAUUUAAAUGUAUAUAUUAUAAAUAAAUAUUAUAUAAAUUUAUAAAUUGUAACUUAUAAAUAUAUAUAUGAUGAUUAUGUAUAACUGUAUUAAUAUAAUUAAUAUAAAUGUAUAAAUGUAUUAAUAUUAUGUAUAAAUGUAUAAUUUAUAUUGUUUAUAAUUUAUAAUUUUUAUUGUUUAAAUAUUUAUAUAUAUUUAUGCAUUUAUAAUACAUUUAUAAAUAAAUAUAUUUAUAUAGGUAUAUAAAAAUAUAUAAAUGUAUUAUAUUACAUAUAAUACAUAAUAUAAAUAUAUUUACAAAUGUAAUAAUUGUAUAUUAUUAUAAAUGAAUAUUAUAUAAAUAUAUAAAUUAAUAUAUUAUAAAUAUAUAAAUAUAUAAUAUUAUGUAUUAAUAUAAUUAAUAUAAAUGUAUAAAUGUAUUAGUAUUAUGUAUAAAUGUAUAAUUAAUAUUGUGUGUUAAUAUUAUGUAUAAAUGUAUUAUAUUAUACAUAAUACAUAAUAUAAUUGUAUAUAAAUAUACAUAAAUAUAUAUACAUAAAUGUGUAAUAUAUAUAAUAUGUAUUAUAUAUAUUAAAUAUAUAAUAUAUAAUAUUUAUAUAAAUAUAUAAUUACAUAUUUAUAUUAAUAUUAAUUUAUAUGGUAUAUAAUAUUUAUAUAAAUAUAUAAAAAUAUAUUUUAAAUAAAAUAAAAUAUUUAUAAUAUGUUGAAAUAAAUAUAUAAAUAUAUAAUAUAUAUAAUAAAUUUUUGAGGGUGAGGGACUCAAAAAUUCAAAAUAUUUUUUUGAGGUUACCGGCGGCGCCGGAAUAAGUGACCGGCGCCGGGAGAGGUGGUGGAGGCGGUGUCUGGUGUGGUGGGUUGGGUGAGGGAGGAAGAAAAGUUUUUGAGAAAUUUUUUGUGUAUAGAUUUUUGAAGUGUGUAGGUAAAAAACUUUGAAAAGUUUUUUGGGAUUCCUGUAGCAAAAGUUGUUAAAAAACUAGUAGCUAAAAAACUUGGUAAAAAACUAGGGUGCCAAACAGGCCCAUCUAAUACACAAAAAACUUUCCAUUUUCUUCUUCUUUCUCCCCCACCCCUAUUCACCACACCUCCGCCGCCGGCCACCACCACCUCCACCGCUGUUUCCGGCGCCGGCCUACCCCUUUUUUUUCCUUCUCCCUCUCCCUCUCCCCCUCCCCCUCUCUUUCCCUCCCCUCCCCUCCCUGGCCACCCUCCCGCUUCCUCUCUGGUCGCACGCUAUCAGGAAAGACCGAAUUGGGCAAAAGGCUUCCGCUUCCUCUCUGGUCGCACGCUAUGCGAUCUGGUCGAACGAUCGAAUUGGGCAAAAGGGGAGGGGGGAAGGGGAGGGGAGGAGAGGGGGAGGGGGAGAUGGAGGAGAGGGGGAGAGAAAAAGCAAAAAAAAAAAUUGUAUUCUGCCAUGGCUGCUGGUUCUCUGCUUCGGGAGGGAGAGGGGGAUGGUGAAGGGGAGUAGAGGGGGAUAGGGGAGCAGAGAAGGAGAAGAGGGGAAGAAAAAAUGAAAAAAAAAAAUUGGGGAGAGGGGCUGCUGGUCGUCUGGUACCGCGAGGGAAGAGGGAGGGGGAAGGAAGGAAGAAGAAGAAGAAGAGGAGAGGAGAGAAAAGAAAAAGGAAAGAAAGAAAGAAAAAGAAAAAGAGAGAGAAAAAGAAAGAAAAGAAAAAAAAUGGAAGGGCCAUGGCUGCUGGGACUGGGAAGGCAGAGGUAACGGGGGAGGGAAGGGGGAGGGAGAAGGAAGAAGAAGAAGAGAAAAAAGAAAAGAAAAAGGAAAGAAAGAAAAAGAAAAAGAAAGAGAAAGAAAAAAAAAGGAAAGAAAGUUUUUCACCUUAAAAAAACUUCUACAAACAAAUUUUUCACUUUACAAAAACUUCUACAAUUUUUUCAAAAACUUCUACAGUGUACUACAGUAAAGUUUUAGACAAACUUCCAAAAAACUUAGGUUCCAUACACGUUAUUUUGCCUUUUUUCAAUCAUUUUUUAUCUCGUAUAUAUCAAAUCAUUAUGAUAUACUUUUUUUUAAUAUAAAAAUUUCUAAAAAUAACAAUCCAAACAAUAAACUAAAAGAAAAUAACCCUCACCUAUUCAUGGUACCAAUUUAAACUAGAAUCUUAAAACAAAAUACUAAUAGACAUGUGCUAAACAAAUAAAAUGUAGAAACAUGAAUGAAUUCCUACCUAUUUACUAACCCCAAAAAAUGAAUUCCUACCUAUUUCUAUGCUAAUCUUCUCUAUUGCCGCAGGCCCAAAAAUAGAUUUUGGGUAGAAAUAUUUGAAUAUUUGUUGAAGGUAACUUUCGGACGGACUAGAUACUCGUUCAUGCAAGCAAGGGAAACAAAACUGGCAGAUCAGUGGUUGAAUUCCUUCCACCCCCCAAUCUAUAUUUGGAGCCUAUCACCAACCAUCCAAACGAUUUCGAGUUAUGAUAAUUUUCAGCUUCCUAAUCUUUCUCUUGGGCAUUUUCUUUCCCUUGUAUACCCGUCCUGGAGUUGUUCCAGCACCAAUUGAUCCAAGUUCCCUAUGAGUCAGAUCGGAAACAGGUCUGUAGGCCUCAGCAAAGCAUUGAAUUAAGAAAGGUCCCAAGUCAAAAUCCCAAGCAACUUGCAUUCCAUGGCAAUUAAUAGAAUAGCAUCCAAGUUUCAUGGCAACUUUCAUGCCCACUGGCGGGUCCAUGAAAAUAAAUGAAAUGUACAUUUUCAAAUCUCUGCGCCUGAACAAGACUCAAGGCGAUGGUAGCUCUUCAAGUUUCAGCCACGUUGAUAGUCAGAGGUUUGGUGCGACGUUUAUGAUUAUUGGUCUGGGUCCGUACGAUGCAGGUGACUAUUCAUAUUGGGCUGUGUGAAAUAUGAAUUAUUGUUUGUGGCCCACGGGAUGAAAGUAUUUGUCUUAUUGUUUAGCGAUGCUGCUUUCGUUGUUCUAAGACUCCUGGUCCCAUGUUUUAAGACAAAGUGGUCCACUCCUGGAUUGUACGAAUGAAUUAUUAUUAUUUGGGGUCUACGGCAUGUGACCAUUUGUUUAAUUGUUUAGCCUUGUCACUUUCAUGGUCCUCCAUUUUAAGGGAAAAUAGUCCUCCAUUGUUCGUCUCACGCGUUUGUAACACGCAGGGCCUGUUUGGAACCUGAGUUUUUUUGGAGUUUGUCUAAAACUUUACUGUAGUGCAUUGUAGAAGUUUUUGAAAAAAUUUUGUAGAAGUUUUUGUAAAGUGAAAAACUUUUUUUUCCUUUUUUUUUUAUUUCUUUUUCUCUUUCUCUUUCUUUUUCUUUCUUUCCUUUUUCUUUUCUUCUUCUUCUUCUUCCCCCUCCCCCUUCCCCGUUACUCCCCUGUUCCCCUUCCCACUUCUCACCAUCUUUCUUUUCUUUAUUUUUUUUUCACAGAGAGUUCGGGGAGGAAAUGGGGGAGACGCAGAGAGAAAAAAAAAAGACAAGAGGGGAGGAUGGCAAGGGAGAGAGGGAAAAAAAGGGGAAAAAAAAAAGAAGACCGGCACCGGCACCGGAAAUUGGCGCCGGAGCCGGCGAUGGAGGUUGUGGUGGGGGAGGAAGAAGAAGAAAAGGGGAAGGGAAUUUUUUUUUUUUUUUUUGUGUUUUGGAUAUUUUAAGUGUGUAGGUUAAAAACUUUGAUAAAUUUUUGGGGUUCCUGUAGCACAAGUUGUUAAAAAACUAGUAUAAUAAAAACUUGGUAAAAAACAGGCCUUCCAAACAAGCCCGUAGACUCUUUUUUUUUUUUUUUUGUCUGCAACGAUAUAUUUGUAUAAUAUACUCUAUCCUAAUCUAGGAGGAGGGGGAGCCUAAGGAGGCUAUUGUAGGGGCUAGUGGGUAUACAGACCCAACUAGACCAAGGGAGUGCUAUGACACAACCCUUAGAUUUUUUUCGAUGCUGGUGAGGUUUGAACCCUCACCAACAGCCCAAGGAGGGACUUAAGUCCCUCCCUGGUGGCCACUGAGCCAUUGGCCCAGUGGUUAAGCCCGUAGACUCAGCGUAAAAAAAAAGCCCAUCAUGGUGGGGUAGUCCGUAGUUGUAGGGGAAAAUAUCAAUAAAUAAGUCAAAACCAAUUUUUCAUCCGAAUACACAAUUUCCAAAACUCAAACCGUACUGCACGACCCUACCGCCAAUACAAACAACGUGCGUGGACCAGCUAGUUACUUUCUCAUUAUUUCUUGGCUUCACCAAACCCAGGUACUUAUUAUUUUACCUAAAUGAUGAUAAUUAUCAUUUACUAAUUAUUAUUAAUAGCAUUUACCUAUAUAAUAUAAUAAAGUAUUAGUAGUAUAUACUAAUACUAUAUAGCAUUUAUCUAUAUAUUAUAUAAUUUUAUAUAUCAAUUUGGUAUUCGAAUGCGGUAAUGCGGUACCCGAUUUCAAUUACCGAAUUUUGAAUUCGAAAUCAGUUAUUACCAAAUUCAUAAUCUCGUUACCUAUUUUAUACCAUAUUAGAAUUCGGUGAAUUCGGUAUGUAUCGAAUUGAUACCGAAUUACCAAAUACCCGAUUUCAAAUUACCGAAUUGAAUUUGAAAUCGAUUAUGAAUUCGGUACGAACUGAAUCUGCUCACCCCUACCUAUGACUCAAGUUCCACCUAGUAGCCAAAUUUAUUAAAAUGCUCAAGUCAAAGAGUCAUGUCCCACAAAAUGACUAAACGUAGAUAGCAACAUAAUAAAACAGAAGUGCCAAGAUAAAGAAUGACACCAAUAACAAAUAGGGAAGCACAAGAAUGAACUAAUGUGGAUGUUGCUGCGAUAUGUUUAGGAGUCAGAGAAGAGGAAUGGAAAGUUGCUGCGGUAUGAUUGUGGCCACAAAUGGUAGGGAAAGUGUGUUGGAUAGACACGUAUAAAGGUCUUUUGUGACCUGAAACCUGAAGACUUGUUGGGCAUUGAAGUUAAGUGGAAAAGGGAUAGGAAAAGUUGAGGGGAUUCCAAAGUGUAAAUGUGAAAUGUGAAGUAUCUAAAAUAAGCAACUGUCAAAGUGAGAGAGUCGUAAGUGAAAGUAAGAGCAGCAAAAAAGGCGCGAAACUUGGCAGAGAACUUAAACACUGUAAGCAUAUAAAAUGAAAAAUUUAAUAAAUUUAAGCAUUAAAUUUAUAAUGAAUAAACUAUUCCUUUAUUUUAAAUAAGACCCGUAAAUCUUGUUUGUUAAAUUAUACCCAUAGUUAUUUAUUAUACAGGUAUAUUAUGAGUACUUACUAACUAAGGUACUAAAUUUUAAUCAUUAAUAAAACAUCUUAUCUUUAUUUCAAAUAAACUUCCUAAUACUACUUUGAGAUAAGGUUUUAAUGUAAAAAUUGUACAUGUAUUCCAAAAAAUGGUAAAUUUUGAUCCUUAAUCAUUUUUAUUACCAUGUUAUUAGUAAGAAUUACUAUUUAUGUAUAAAAACUUACUGUUAUUUGAACUAAACUUACUCUUUUAAAAGUAAGUUUGGGAUAUAAAGUAGUAAUCUAUUUAUUUAAAAAUUAAGUUUAAUAUUUAUUCCAAUUUACCUUUUGAGGUAUAAAAGUUACUAAUUUAUUAGGCUUAACUUACUAUUUUAGAUAGGAAACUUACUUCCAUAAUUUUAGGUGUUAUUCUAUUUAGGUGAAUAGGUUCAACAAUAAAUCAAAUGAUCGCUAAAAGUGCAACAACAUGUUAUAUUAGGUAAAACUAUUUCGCUACCAUAACUAUCGUUUAGUAUAUAUCUAUAUGUAUUGCUGAGGGGGGUUUUGGAUAAAGAGCUUCCAAAAUUGUCAAAAGUUUGAAUGCUAUUUUAAUAGAAUUUUACAUUUUUAGAAUUAAAAAAUGUUUAUCUCUUAACUAAUCAUAUAACUGCUCCUACAAAUCCUAUAAUCAUGCUCAUAUUUUUCCCACAUUUCCCUCACGUUUUUUCCACUACCCUAUGAAAUUCAAACUCCUAAACUUUAACUGACUGAUAAUAACCACCCCUGUAAAAUGAUAUCUGCAAAUUUUAAUUCAAAUCUCACAUUUAUUACUGACACUUAUCAUAUCACUGAUAGUAAUAACUAAUCGUUAAUUUAAGAAAUUCGCAACUACAAAAGUCAAAUAUCCAAAAUUUAGUAGCUUGUUUAAAUUACAAUUUUCACAAUUCAACGUAUCUUAUUGUCAUAAUAUAGUUUACUCUCAAAAUCAUUCACAAAUUAUAAAGGGAUUAAAAAAUAAAUAAUUUUUUAAUAAAAAAUUAAUUCAAAGGUAGUUAAUUCACACACACACGCAUACAUAUAUCCAUAUAUAUAUAUAUUAUCAUAAUAUAAACUAAAAUUAUAAAAAAAUUAGGAGGGCUAACUUUUUUUUACACAAAUAUUUACACAAUAUGAAUUAAAAUUUUUGAAACUUUGGGAAGAAGGGACCUAUGACCCCAAUUAGCCCCUAUUAGUUUGGGAGUGUUUGGAUAGCAGAUUUUUUCAAAUAAUAUUUUGCUUACAUCAUAAACACAUUUUUCAACCCACCUUUUUAUCUCACAUACAUCAUAUCACAAAAAGUACUAUCAUAAUUAUUUCAAAUAAUAUUGUAAAUAACACUCUAUCCAAACAAAUUGAAGAGUUCCAAACCUGCAAGAUUACAAAAGAGAAAAUAGCUGAUCACAAAAUGAAUUUUACACUAUGAUGAUCCCACCCAAAUGUAGUUAUUUCAUGCCCACACGCACACAUAUAUACUUAUAUAUAUUCUCAUAAUAUAAACUAAAAUUAUAAUAAAUUUGGAGGACCUGUUUUAUUUUACACAAAUAUUUAUAUAAUAUGAAUUAAAAUUUUUAAAACUUGGGGAGAAGGGUUAUGACCUCCAUUAGCCCUCAUUGGUUCCAUUAUUGAUUUCAAUGGUAUCUUAAUUUCAAACCUACAAGAUUACAAAGAAAAAAAAUAACUAAUCACAAAGCGAAUCUCACACCAUAGUGAUCCCAAUGAAAUAUUUUAAAAAGAUUCAGCAAGUUCACUUCAAAAAAAAAUACAGGUCUUGCUGAACUUUUUUUGUAGUACGAAUUCUUCAAAAUUCAAUAGAAUUAAUUAAACCAUCAAUAUUAGUUUUCAUACUAAAAGUUGAUUGGUGUAAAAAAUGUUCACACCUUUAUACAAGAUUAUCAAAUCGAAUGCAUAAUGUUGGUAAGUAUUUCAUUUUAAAAUCAAAUAAAACAUGCAAUUACAUUUAUUUCUAUCCAUAUAUUAUUCAUUUUCUAAUAUAAAUUAUUAUUAUUAUUUUAAGAUCCAUCUUCCGCAAAAACACAAUUCUUGAAUGAUUUAUAGUUUUUGUCAUACUUUGAACUAUUGUUAGACAAAUCUUAAAUUUUAAUUAUGUUGGUAUAAUUUUUUUUAACUUUUUUCAAAUUAAAAUGGUAUAAUUUUUUAAUUUAUUUUAAUAAUGUAAAUACCGUGCGUAGCACGGAUAUUCACAUUAGUUGUCCUUGUAUGACCGAGCUUGAGAGUUUGAGCAUGUUUUGGUUGAAUGUUAUAAUUCAAAAUUUGGGGUUUGGAGGGAAUAUGUUAUAUCCAUUGUAAUCAAAACUCAAACAAAAGUGGGGAUAAGCCUGGUUGUCACAACGAACUAUAUAAAGUGGAUUUUUUUUAUUUAUUUGCACAAUGCUACCUUAUUUUUACAUGCAUCAGAAUGGAUUGAUUACAAGUUGCAUUUGCUUGCCUUUUGCUAGAAUUUUGGCUAAUUAACAAAUUAUACUAAUUGUAGAAAAGUAAGUUUGUAAUCAUUUUCAAUUUUUGAAAAGUUUGAAAGUUUAGAUAACAAUAACAACAAAUCUUCCUAGUUACAUGUAGAAUAUCACUUGUUUCUAUAUCACAAUUUUUAUAACUUAACACCUAUGAAUAUAAUAAGAUAAAAAUAUUAUUUUAUAAUACGAUAAAAUUUUAUUAUUUUCUAAGGUUAUGUGAAAGGUCAAAAUAUUUUUCACAAAAUAUUUUAAAAUAUAUAAGUACAAAAGAAUAUUAAAUUAUACAUAUAAUCAUGCAUUAUAUAAUUAUGUUACGAGUACUUACUAACUAAUGUACUAAAUUUUAAUCAUUUAUAAAAUAUUUUAUUGUUAUUUCAAAUAAGCUUCCUAGUAUUCAUUUGGUAUAAGCCAUAAAGGAUUGAGUGAUUUGAAUCAGCUGCUUCUGUGUUAAUUUUGACUGUGGUUAACAAACUCAAUGAUUUAGUCCGUCUAACUCAGGUUAGUGGGAAAAUGGGUCACAGUUGGCUGGAAUAAAAUUGUAAUAAACCCAUUUUUCAAUAAAAAAAAAUAAACUCUUUAUGACUUUUCUCUAUUAUACGAAUAGAAUACCCAUUUUCCUAAAAAAAAUUAUUUAUCAGAUAAAAUAAAAAUAAACUCAUUUUCAAUAAAAUCCUAACUCUUUAUGCCUUUCCUCUAUUAUAAGAACCGUGUACCCAUUUUCCCAUAAACAAAUUUAUUUAUCGAAAAAAUAAAAAUGAACCCGUUUCUCAAUAAAACAUCAGCUCUUUAUGGCUCUCCUCCCUUAUAAGAAAAGAGUAUCCAUUUUGCCAUAAACAAAUUUGUUUAUCGAAUAAAAUAAAAAUAAACUUUUUUUCAAUAAAAAACCAGUUUUUUAUGACUUUCCUCCAUUAUAAGAAUAUAGUACCCAUUUUUCUAAAAAAAAUAUUAUUUAUCGAAUAAAAUAAAAAUGAACCAGUUUUUCAAUAAAACACAAGCUCUUUAUAGUUUUCCUCUAGCGCAAAUUAUCUAAUUGGCCCUUGAACUCUUUGUCUAAGUAAAAAUAAGCCCCUCAUCUAUUUUUUGCUGACUUUAAGCCCUCGAACUUGUAAAAUUGGGUAUCCGUGACCCUUUUAGCCAGUUUCUCCGGUUUUGCAACCGGAAGUGGAAUUCACACGAAUGGCAGUAUGCUUUGAAAAAUGGCAUUUUUGUCAAAAGAUUCAAAACUCGCGCGACGCUAGGGUUUCAGUACUCCCCUCUUUCGAUCUCUUCCACACACAGUAGAACACGGUAGCUAACGCACAGUUGAUUUGAUUGGUCUCAAUUCUCAGCCGACGACAGUCCAUCUAUGGCUGAGGAACUAGUAAACGACACCGUUGCUUCUCCGUCUCUGGCCAGUCAAUCCAAUAGUAGUGUUGUGCCGUUGGGGAGCUCGGUCAUUCCGAUCGUCAACAAGCUCCAAGACAUAUUCGCGUAGCUCUCCAGUCAGUCUACAAUUGAAUUGCCGCAAGUGGCGGUCGUCGGAAGCCAGAGCAGUGGAAAAUCCAAUGUUCUGGAGGCACUAGUCAGAAGAGAUUUCUUGCCCAGAGGUUCGGAUAUUUGUACUCGCCGACCUCUCAUUCUUCAGCUCGUGCAGACUAGACGAAAACCUGAUGGCACCAAGUGGGCCCUCCAUUGGAUCGACGACUUCGAGUCCUUCGCGGAGCGCCUGGUGGCCUUCGCCUGCGUGGAGGGGAUAUUCUUCUCAAGGAGCUUUUGCGCCAUAUUCUGGGUGAAGAAUUGGGGGCUGAUGCCGGGCUUGACCUUCUCCAAAGAGCUGAUCUCGCGGGACGAGGGGCUUCACUGUGACUUCGCGUGCCUGCUGUAUGGGCUGCUAAGGGCGAAGCUGAGCGAGGAGAUUUUGAUCUCAGAGAUGGAGGGCUUCACUGUGACUUCGCCGAGGUAGGCCAUGGCUGAAGCCAUGGAGGACUCGGAGAUGGUGUCCAUGGGGGAGGAAACGAAUGGGAGGGUGAGGGAGAGGUUGCAGGAGAGAGGAGAGGAGAGGGAGACGGCAUCGGUGGAGAAGUCAAUGAAGUAGAGGAGGAAGAUGAGGUCGUCGUAGGCGUAGGAGUAGUCCAUGGAGGGAAGAGAGAGGAGUUGUUCCUUUUUUGCUCAGAAUAUGCGGACAAAAAUGCCCUUCUUAAAAGCAUACUGCCAUUCGUGUGAAUUCCUCUUCCGGUUGCAAAACCGGAGAAACUGGCUAAAAGGGUCACGGAUACCCAAUUUUACAAGUUCGAGGGCUUAAAGUCAGCAAAAAAUAGAUGAGGGGGUUAUUUUUACUUAGACAAAGAGUUCAAGGGCCAAUUGGAUAAUUUGCCCUUUCCUCUAUUAUAAGACAGAGUACCCAUUUUUCAUAAAUAAAUUUAUUUAUCGCAUGAAAAAAUAAAUAUAUUUUUCAAUAAAAUACCAGUUCUUUAUGAUUUUCCUCCGUUCACUACAACAAAAAAGGGUAUUAGCGACAACAACUUUAGCAAAAAGUAGAAAGUUUGACGCUCUUAAGAGGCUUAUAGCAUGGAAAAGGACAAUGCCUCACCAAAUAUUGGAGCCAAUAUAUACUCUGCGAGGGCAAGGACUUUUCUCGCUUAAAAUUCUCGCCAAAAGGAGCGCGGGAAAGCUUCCCUCCAAAUACUGAUUCUAGUGAGCCAAAGUUUCUAUGUUAUUGGUGAGAAAUCAUGGGUGCUUUUUUGUAAAAAUUUCAAAAUUUGGCUCCCUAUCAAUUUUUAGCAGAGCCACGCAUUGAAAAUUUUUUAACCAUUCCCGGCACAGCACUUGUCAAGCCUGGCACAGCACUUGUCAAGCCUAGCACCACAUGAAUUCCAAGCCUUCCAUACUUGCAAGGCUACUUUCCCAAAUAUUGUUCUCAGAUCAGAGCCCUCGAAAGUUCAAUCGCAACCUCCCCUGCACCUUUCUCCUUCUAUCUCUCUUUCCCUUUCUAUCAAUUUUCAGUUUCCCGUAGACAUAUGGUUCCCCUCUUCCUCUCUAGCAUCCAGAUCUGAAUUUAUACAAUCAUGGACACACUUUAAAGACCCUUCCGAUGCAAUGGCAGAUUUCAAGGAAAAGCGAUGGUGUAGGUUUUUUAAUAUGUUAUUUUCAUCUCUGUUUUGUCAAUUGCCUUUUUCUUGCAUUUUUGGUCAAUUUAACAAUCACAAGAUAAACUUUUUGAAAUUGUAGACUUCUUCUUCAGUGGAUUAGAGUGAAUGGGCAUCUCAGUUGGAGUAGAGAAAGGGGUCUUAUAGGAAGGCAAAAUGAAAACGGCCCUUCAAAAUUUCAGAUCUAAGAUUUCAGGUGAUCUCCAACAUAUUUUCAUACUAGAAUUCUUCCUUCCACGAUUUGAUUUUUCCCCUGCUUUGUCGUAUUGUUCAAUCUUUUCUCUUUACCACUCUCGCUCCCAUUCCUCUGUACCUCUCGUUGCCCAGCCCUAGUUGUCCCCUUUUGUUGUUCCAAACCCCCUGUAUCUUACACAAUUUUUGAAUGCUAAACACUAAUUAUGACAUGUUCUAAGAUUUAAGCCUUAUUUAUUUGGUGACUUAACUGAAAUUUUGGAUGAUUUUCUACUCCGGUUGGUGAUUAGGAUUGAUGGUAUAGGUGAUUGUGCUUGUCUUUGGACUGGUUUGUGGUGGUUCAUCAUUAUCUUUGGACUUUACAAUUGGUUUCAUGUCAAUUGGGGUCAUAAUGAUUUAUUCAUCUUAAGUACACGCUAUCAACUUGUAGUUUGAAAUUCAGUUCAUAUUUUGUACUUGUGGUUAAUAAAAGUGAUCCUUAGCAUUUCUUUUAAAGUCCCUCAUUUUCAUUUCUUUUCAUACAACAAUAUGAGGAUUAAUGUCUUAGUUGAUUUAUGUAGGCUAAUGCAGGUUUAAUUUAUCUAACUACGAAUGUAAAUUUCUGUUUAAUAAUUUUUUUUUCCAUUGGACUCUGUAGGUUGAUGGUGGAUUGUAGUAAACCUGGCUAUGAAGCUCUUACAAGCUACUUCGAUUGUGGACUUUGCCAAUUAAUGCAAACAUGAUACUCAUUGUAUAUCGGCACAGGGUCUAUCUUAGCAUUUGUUAUCCCUAGCAAUUUUGGUUGUACAUAUUAAAGCCUAAUUAGGAUUUGAUUUGAGUAUCUUUGUGCUUUGUACUGUUGAUAGUAUUGGUUGUAAUAUAUUGUUGCUCGUUUUGUAUUUGUAAUGACAAAUUGGUUUGUUAUUUCGUAUACAAAUUUUGCUAUAUCUCAAUAUUGACAUUAAUGAUACCUCUUGCUAAAAAAAUGGUUGAAAAAAAGUAGCAACUACAGUCACAAAUCUGCUUUCGGCAACUUUCUUGCAAGAAAAUCAUUUAGCUGCAUUUGAUCGUCUUUGGUAAGGGGUCGAUGGUUUCCAAUAAAACACCAGCUCUUUGUGACUUUCCUUUAUAAAUUUUUUAUUUUUCCUUUUUUCACCGAAGUAAUUUAUUACUUGGAUAAAAUCAGGAACUCCAUUAUAAGAAAAGGUUUGGAGGGAAUAAGUUGUAAGCAAUCCAUGACAAUUACCGCCCCUACACACAUGUGAAGGAAUAGGGGCCAUGACAAUUUUCUACAUGUACUGUGCAAAUCUUAUACCAUUGAAAAUCACAUUGAGAGGUGGGCCACCAUCGAAGCAACACCGUUCAAUACCUGUGGAAGUAGCGUCCGACUGAACAGACAGGUACAAGUGAUGCAUCUUCUCCAACAAGAAUCACUGGCGCCAGUCUUAUCAUUAUCGGAACACCAUCCAACUGUCACCCAUUUUCUCUCUAAGUUAGACGGACUAAAUAAUUGAGUUUGUUAACGAUAAUCUAAAUUAAUCCAGCAGCAGCUAAUUCAAAUCACUGAAUCCUUGCACCGUCGGCUCCUCCAUUUGUUGUAUGUUCAUGCACCAUAGCCUCUCCUAUAAGAACUUUACACAAUAACCUUCUCUCUUGUAUGCCCAUAGAACCAUGUUUUUUUUUUCUUAAAAUGAAGGAAAGCCAUAAAAAACUGUUGUUUUAUUGAAAAACGGGUAUAUUUUUAUUUUAUUCGAUAAAUAAAUUUGUUUAUAACAAAAUGGGUACUCUUUUCUUAAAAUGGAGAAAAGCCAUAAAGAGCUGGUGUUUUAUUGAAAAAUGAGUUUAUUUUUAUUUUAUCCGAUAAACAAAUUCCUUUUUGCCUUCAAAAUGAGUACUCUGUUCUUAUAAUGGAGGAAAGUCAUAAAGAACCAGUGUUUUAUUGAAAAACGGGUUUAUUUUUAUUUUAUCUGAUAAAUAAAUUUGUUUAUGAAAAAAUGAGUACUCUGUUCUUAAAAUGGAGGAAAGUUAUAAAAAGCUUAUUUCUUUUAUUAAAAAACGGGUUUAUUUUUAUUUUAUCCGAUAAAUAAAUUUAUUUAUGAAAAAAUGGUUACUCUAUUCUUAUAAUAGAGGAAAAUCAUAAAGAAUUGGUCUUUUAUUGAAAAAUAGAUUUAUUUUUAUUUUAUCUAAUAAAUAAAUUUAUUUAUGAGAAAAUGGGUACUCUGUUCUUAUUAUGGAGGAAAGCCAUAAAGAGCUGGUCUUUUAUUAGAAAACGGAUUUGUUUUUAUUUUAUUCGAUAAAUAAAUUUAAUUAUGAAAAAAUGGGUACUCUGUUCUUAUAAUGGAGAAAAGCCAUAAAGAGUUAGUCUUUUAUGGAAAAGUGAUACUUUACGGAAAGUGACCACGAUUUGGUUUAUGAAAUAAUUCCAAAUAAAAAUUUAGAAUGAAUUUAUUUGUUUUGAAAGUUGUAUAACGGUCGUUAAAACUUUAGAGAUUGGCAAAAAUAUUUUGGGGUUGCAGAAAGGCGGAGAGAAGAAGGCGAAGAAUUGAGGUUUUUGUCCGUUGCAAUUAUUCCGUUAAAAAUGGCUCCAUUCGAUUUUACCCAUUUUUUGUUGGAUAAAAUCAUUGGUUCUAACGAUCAAUUCUUCAUUUCUCGUCAAUUGUCCUUAAUUGGCCAAAAUUACGAAAUUUUGAGGAUGCAAUAUGUUUGGGGUGAAACUCUGAGGAUAAAAUUGGCCAACCACCCAAACUUUGAGGAUGAAAAGUGUAUUUUUCCGAUAAGAUAUUUAAGCAAAUGGUAUUUUUUGUCUUAAUUUUAGUUAUGACUAUAUUACAUAUUUAUUAAAUAGACAUACCUUUAUAAUUAAAGUUAAUAUUUGAUAUUUUAGGAUGCCAUAUAUUUAAAUAGAUGAAAAUUAUUUUGAACAUAAUAUAUUAAAAUAAUUUUAUUUGUCAAUCAUUUUGGCCCUCCCUCCAAGGAAAAAAUCUUGGCUUCGUCACUGCCAAUAAGGAAAUUGGGCUCUAUUGCUAAACAAAAGAUUGUGAAAAUUUACCUUUAUAUCCUAAUUAUUUGGAAAAAUCCAAUGAACAAAUUUUGCAAAAGAAACCUUGUUUCUUACCAACAAAUUAAGUAACUAAUAAAAUCACCUUUAAUAUUGCUUUAACAUAUUUAAUUUAUGGUAAAUACAAAUUUUACCAAUUUCUCUUUUGUAAAAAUAUAAGUGUAUAACUUUUUCAAUUUUAGUUACAAACAUUUACAUAAAUGUAGUGAUUCAAAGUAAAAUGCCCAUAAAUAGCUAGUAUUUUGUUGAUGUAAUGCAAAAAAAUUCAUAAAAAGCUGGUAUGUUAUCGGCGCAAUCUUUUUUACUUUCACAUAUUUAAAAUUUGUUAAAUACAAAAUCUACUAGUUUUCCUUUCGUAAAAAUAUAAGUAUAAUACUUUUUCAAUUUUAGUUACAAACAUUUAUGUAUUUUACAUAAAUGUAAUGAUUCAGAGUAAAAUACCCAUAAAUAGUUAGUAUUUUGUUUAUGUAAUGCAAAAAACUCAUAAAGAGCUGGUAUGUUAUGGGCAAAACUUUUUUCCUUUCACAUAUUUAAAAUUUGUUAAAUACAAAAUUUACUUGUUUCCCUUUCAUAAAAAUAUUAGUGUAACACAUUUUCAAUUUUAGUUACAAACAUUUAUGUAUUUUACAUAAAUGUAAUGAUUCAUAGUAAAAUGCCCAUAAAUAACUAGUAUUUUGUUGAUGUAAUGCAAAAAAAUCAUAAAGAGGAGGUAUGUUAUGGGCAAUAUGUUUUUUACUUUCACAAAAAUCAGUUUAUGUUAAAUACAGGACAUCCAAUUUUCCUUUCAUAAAAAUAUUAGUAUAACAGUUUUUCAAUUUUAGUUAUAAAUAUUUAUGUAUUUUACAUAAAUGUAAUGAUUCAGAAUAAAAUACCCAUAAAUAGAUAGUAAUUUGUUGAUGUAAUGCCCAUAAUCGGGAGAAUCAAUUGGAAUUCACUGUUCCUCAACCUUGGACGCUUUAUGUAAAAUAGAAAUAUUUGUAUUCAAUUAAAUGUGAAACAGGCAUUAAUCUGUCUUCCCACGAACCCAGUUUUCACAAAUGUUAAUAUUUUACUAAUUUAACAACUAAAAUCAAUUUUAAUAAUUCAAAUUUAGUAGGUUAGAUAAAAGUUGUUAGAAAAGUGAGAAAUCAAAAGAAAAAUAACUCAAAUUUAUUAAAAGUCCAAAAAGGAUUCAGUAUUUCAGCAUUAGAAGUCCUCCAAAUGACUAUAUAUUAGAACGUCUAUAAUCAAAAUAAAUUAGAUAAUUAAAAAACUUAAUAUUUCAAACAUUUAUUUUCUGAAGUUUCACUUCUUAAAGGCUCUCAAUUUGUUAUUUAAUAAUGACCAUAUGUUGCUUCAAAGCCAAGUAUGGCUGUGUUUAGUACUGCUUAUGCUUCCUUUUCAGUGUUUUAUUCGUAGGCUCAUUAUAUUUAUGUUAAUUCUGUCACACUCCAGUACAUUUCCAGCUUCUGCAGUACGCAACAUUUUCCCAUCCCCCAAUGGGUUUAUAGGUCACCACUUGCUUUUGUAGAAAUAUUCCCUUCAUCCUCUGUACAUGUCAGCUUCUUUGCCAUAUUCUUUACCUUUCCACGUGCCUGUUUCUUUGUCAUAUUCUUUACAUUUCCACACCUGUCUUGGAUUAGCUGAAUACACUACAGAAUUUACCUGUGUUUUAUACUAAUUUUUAAACUGCAUCUUGCUAAGGCCAUCCUAAAAGAUUUCUGUCGCUUCUUAGCAACACCCAGAGCUACUUUAUUGUGUCGCCAUCAGUUUGGUCGCCAUAGUUGUCUGUCUGUCUCUCUGUGAUGUGGAGGAUAGAGUGUUUGACAAUGACUUUAUUUCUUCCAAAAGCGUUAAUUCACAAUCACAGUACAUCGCCCCGUGAAUGGUCCAGCGGUAACGCCUCUCACCGGUGACCCUUAAGGUCCCAAGUUCGAGUCUCCGCUCCGCUGGGUUCCUCCGCGCACUUAUCGCUUUCGGGUCGGGUUGGGGUGCCGGGCCCGGACCGCAGGGGAUUAGUCGUGCCCCGUAAGGAUUGACCCAAACACCCUUGUAUUGACAAAAAAAAAAAAAAAACAAUCACAGUAAACGAUCUCACAGUUAUGGUGCUCCAAUCUUUGAUUUAUUCCUCAACUAGAUAAAAGAACUAGCCUUGCUGCAUAAUCAUUAUGCGAUUCCAAGCUUCCAAGUAAUUUUGUCUAUGAAGAAGUAAAAGGGUGUGGCCGCUUGUCUAAAGCUUGCGUGGAGAAGUAAAAGGAAAAAAAAUAAAAGAAUCAAAAGAUCCCCUAGUCUAUUGCAAUCCCCCCAAUUUGUAGUGCUGCUCGCCGUCCUUUUUGCUAGCCAAAAUAAAAAGUUGUUUCUCAAACGAAUUAUUUCCUUAAUUCCCUCAUCGGAUUGUUGCCAAAAGUCCUUUUUGGAAAAACUUCCUGAUCCCGCGUAGCUACCAUCACUUUCCAAGAAUUGCGGCAGCCUCCAAGGAGUAGGAUCGCAUACUCCGUCCUUAUCACGCAGCUCCGCGUUAUCUGGCGUGGGCACGCCUUAGAAGCAAGAGUCUUCUGGAUUUUGCCUCCCUUUUGUCACUUUCAACACUAAUUGCCUGUAAUUAACACAAAUACUAAUUAUGAGCAGAAAUCCAAUACUUUGCAUACUAAACUGCCAAAAUUAAGACCAAAUAACCACAAAUAAAAUGCAUAAUUAUAUCCCUAUCAAAUUCCCCCACACCAAGACAAUGCUUGUCCUCAAGCGUUUCAAACUUUAAAUACACAACCCAGCGAGCAAACAUUUUUGCAGCAGUUGAAUUCAAAACAAUGGCUAUUAAUCAAAGCAACUAUUGCCAAUGUAUGAUUUAGAUAACUGUCAAGUACUAAUGACAAAUUUUACGAGAUAACUCUCCAACUAGCUUUUAAAACCAAUGACUCUUUCAAAUCCAGACUAACUAAUCUAAGAAUAGAAAAUAUCCAACCAACAUUCUUUAAUAACUGGUCUAACUAUUAAGCAAAAUCUCAACAUAAAGACUCUUGGAUCCGCAGGCAAUACAAUUAUUCACAUACUUUCAUGCUCGUAUACUUUUUUUUUUUUUUCUUGAAGGAAGUGCUAAGUCUUGAGCCAUUCAAGUCUUUUGACGCGAACUCCGACAUCUCUCUAAUGAAGGAGCCCGGUUACUCAACUUUAACCGCUUAAAGAUCACAUACUCAUAGUUAUCGCUGCUUUUUGACGUGAAAAUCGACACUUUAGGUGAAGACCCCCGGUUACUAGUCAAUGAUAACCAGCGGAGUAUAGCCGAAUGUUAUUCACAAAUAAACACCCAAGUAAAAUUAAAACCAUGCAAGCCUGCUUCAUUUCCUUAACAUGGAGAACUAAGAUUAAUAGUUGAACCAGUUCACACAAAAAUGUCAGAAAAAUAUUUACAAUGCCUAGAAAAGUUAACCAAAAGAAAUUGCAAGAGUCACAAAAUCUCAAAUAUUUACCAGAGAGACAUCCUAAAAUGUUAUCAUAUCAUACUUAACAUAUUAUCAUCUAAAACCGUAACAAUAGUUAAAUUUGAAAAUCUAGCCAUUGCUUAUCAGGGCUAACCAUAAAAAUCCAAAAGGCAUGGUAAAGGUUUUUUUUUUUUUUGGAAGAAAGAAAGCAAUAAGAAGGAAAAACUAAACUACUCCCCCUCACACCUAAACUCUACAUUGCCCUCAAUGUAAGAACGAAAAGUUGAAGUUAAGUGAAGGGAGCAAAAAAAAACCUUCCCUGAAUGAAUAAAACUGCAGCAAAACACCAUGAUAGAGGAGGUGUCAGGGACUGGCAGCGUUGCUGUAAGGCGUGACCACGCCUUAUAAGGCAGAGUCUUUUGCCCAAGCAUUUCUACGAUGUUCAAGAGCAUCACUUAUAGGGCGUGGGCAUGCCUUGUAAAUCCAAGUCUCCUGCCCAACACCAAAAACACUGGCAAUGAAACAAAACAACCAAAAAUCAACGAAAAACGAAAGAGAACUAUAACAAAAAAUGGAGGCCUUGGGUUGCCUUCCAAGAAGCGCCUUUCUUUAACGUCUUUGGCUAGACGACUCCACAGUGAGCAAUUAGGCAUAGAUAUGAUCUAUCAAGUGUACCUCUUCCACAGUGCCAAUGUCUAAACAUCAACAAACGGUUUUAAACGAUGACCAUUAACUGUAAAACUCUUAUUAGUCUCUAAACUCUGGAUUUCAACCACACCAUUGGGAAAAAUAUUGACUACCACAUAUGGUCCAAUCCAACGAGAUUUUAACUUACCUGGCAUGAAUUUCAACCGUGAAUUGAACAAGAGUACCUUUUGUCCUGGAGAAAAGUGUUUCGAACGCAAUAGGCGGUCAUGAAACUGCUUAGUACGUUCUUUGUACAAACGUGCAUUGUCAUAUGCUUCAAGACGAAUUUCCUCCAACUCCUGGAGUUGGAGCUUUCUCUCUUUGCCAUCUCUAUCCGCAUGCAAAUUGCAUUGCUUGACUGCCCAGAAUGCACGAUGCUCAAUAGCCACAGGUAAAUGACACAUCUUACCAAACACCAACCUAUAUGGGGACAUUCCAAUGGGCGUUUUAUACGCCAUUCGAUAUGCCCACAAAGCAUCAUCCAAUCGCCAGCUCUAAUCCUUACGGUUGGGGUUAACCGUUUUCUCCAAUAUGCUCUUGAUCUCUCGAUUGGAGACUUCAGCUUGCCCAUUGGUCUGAGGAUGAUAUAUUGUACUCACACGAUGGUGCACUCCAUAUUUUCUCAUGAGAGCUGCAAUGGUGCGAUUGCAGAAAUGGGUACCUUGAUCACUGAUGAUGGCUCUCGGCAGCCCGAACCUACUAAAAAUGUGGGAUUUGAGAAAUCCUACAACAACUUGAGAAUCAUUAGUUCGGGUAGCCUUUGCUUCUACUCAUUUCGAUACAUAGUCAACUGUUAACAGAAUAUACAAAAAUCCAAAAGAGCUAGGGAAAAAAAUGAAAAAAAAAUGGACAACCAUUCAUUUGGGAUCAUAAUUCAUAACUUUUAGGCAUGGGAUGUAGGUUGAAAAAAAAAAAUAGGCAUGGGAUGUAGGUUGCAAAUGAGGUUGAUCCCUAAGGCUUAAAAAAUAAUGUACCAUUUGGACAUAUGCUAUGAUCUUAUUUACUUAAUCAUGUUGCUGUAUUUCCUACGUUGAUUGCACUUGGAAAAGGAAAAAUUAUCAUCAACUUUAGAAGUUAGAUCUACAUGUAAGUUUUUUACCACCCCUCCAUUGUUACAAUAUUGUUGUUGUGUUAUACACUGGAUUUUAAGAAACAAUUGAGAAAACUUCAAAUUGACAACUAGAAUUACCAAAAUAGUGGAGUUGAAGCAGCCCAGUAAUUCAUUGAUGUGAUUGGGCAGCAACAUAAAAGAUAAUGUUAACAUAUACUGUUGGUUGCUAGAGUAGGACAUGUUUAUGUUCUUUAACAAAAUAGGCACAGACAUGAAAUAGUAUGCGACUUGAACUGCAAACAUUUUUCAUCUGAAUAGCAAUGAAUUGCAAAAUCCUUGGCCAGAAGGACCAUACCUGUUUAUAACAUUCUAAAAUUUGUCCUACAACAAAUAGACAGAGUGUGUUAUGCUGAUGUGGAGAAUGAAACACUAAACCUUGGCUAUGUGAAACAUGAGACAACCAUUCCCUUAACAGAGGAAUUUGUUUUCACAUUAAUAGCGACAUCCAAAUUAUGGGUAAACUAAUGGAGUAUUAUGGAAAUCCAGCUGGCAUUAGAUUGUCAUGAACAGAUUAUAUCCGCACAUUAUUGUGAUGUAAUAAGAAGUUAAAAGUUACCAGCUGCCAGCCAUAAUGGGUUAAACUUGAAUUUCUUGCCAUAUAUGGCCAGCGGCAUUAUAAAUAAACUGUAGCUGUCUACUCAUGGGAACCUCAACGAAAUUUACAUUAUAAAUAAACUAAUUAAGGGUGCGUUUGAACCUCACCAUUCGUUGUUGUGCCCCUGCUUUAAUCUAUCCCUAGUAGCAUCCCUUUGUUUGAAAUAGUAAACCAUAGUAUAAAAGCAAAUAUGCAAUGAUGGAGCAAAGGGGGGCAGAGGGGGGCCAUGGCCCCCCUAAGUUUUGAAAAUUUUAAUUCAUAAUAUGUAAAUAUGCGUGUAAAAUAAAAUUGGCCCCCCCUAAAUUUUUACAAUUUUAGUUUAUAUUAUGAGAGUUGAUAUAUAUAUAUAUAUAUAUAUAUAUAUAUAUAUGAAUUAGUCAUCUUUGAAUUAAUUUUUUCUUCAAAAAAAGUUAUUUAUUUUGUAUUGCUCUAAUUAUUUAACUUUCAAAAAUUAAACAUAUAAUUUGAUGUUCCAUAGUAAAUUGACCCAAUGUGAUGUAUUAGAAUAAAAAGACCCAAUUCAUAAUUGUUAAUGGGCUAAAACAAAAAUAAUUAUUUUAUUGGCCCAUAUACAAAUACAUUAUGGAAAGACAUUAUGAAAAUUACUCAUCUUCUUUAUAUAGCAUUGCAAUGUAAAUCUCAAGAUAUUUUGAAUGCAAUGCAUCUUGUCUCAAGCACAACAAAGCUACUGAAGAAUUUUCAAGAUUCGGGAUGGGAUGAUUUCUUGGUGAAAGUUAAAUUAUUUUAUGAGCAACAUCAAAUUGAUAUCCCGGAUAUGAAUACUCAAUAUAUUGCAAGACGUGGUAGAUCUCGAAAUCAUCAUGAUGAGAUUAGUGUGGAGCAUUAUUAUCGAGUGGAUAUGUUUCUUGCAACAAUUGAUUAUCAAUUGCAAGAAAUGAUCAUACCAUGGAAUUGCUUGUUUUGAGCACUGUUUUAGAUCCUAGAAAUGGAUUUAUGCUGUUCAAGAUUGAUGAUAUUUGUCAACUUGCAGAGAAGUUCUAUCCGAAUGAUUUUAUGGAGCAAGAACUAGUACGUCUAAGAAUAGAACUUCAACAUUUUGAGGUCCGCAUUCCAAAUCAUCCUGAAUUGCAAGAAUUAUUUGGUAUUCAUGAGUUAUGUUAAGGCUUGGUGAAGACAAAAAAAUCAAUGAUAUAUACUCUUAUUGAUAGAUUGAUUAGACUUGUUCUUACUCUUCCUGUAUCAACUCCAAUUACAGAGCGGACAUUUUCAAUUAUAAAAAUAAUCAAGACAAAGCUCCAAAACAAAAUGGAAGAUAAUUUCUUGAAUGAUUGUUUAACUGUGUAUAUAGAAAAGGAAGUUGCUGAAAAAUUUAGCAGUGAUUCAAUAUGAAUUUAGUUCCAUGAAAGAGCGUAGAGCUCAAUUUACUUAUAAGAAAAGAUGUUGAAAUUUCAAAGUAUGUUAACAUAACUUUUAUCUUUUUUCAGUUGAAAAUAGUUACAUUUAUAUUACAUGGUAUAUAUAUAUAUAUAUAUAUAUAUAUAUAUAUAUAUAUAUAUAUAUAUUGCAUAGGUGACAUAUUGGAGAGUAUCUUCUCAUAAUGUGCAAAUUGGAUAGUUUGUGAUGUUAUAAGAUAUUUAAUCAAAUGUUAUCUUUUUUGUUAAUUUUUGUUAUGACUGUACUGCAUAUUUAUGAAUAGACAUACCUUUAUAAUUAAAUUUAAUAUUUGAUAUUUUUAGAUGUCAUAUAUUUAAAUAGAAGAAAAUUAUUUUGAACAUAAUAUAUUAAGAUAAUUUUAUUAGGAAAAAAUUUUGGCCCCUCCCCAAAAGAUAUCCUGGCUCCGUCACUGCAAAUAUGGGCACACAUCCCUUGCCCCAUAUAUAUCAGCUUUGUCCAAUUCUUAGUAGUGAUCCCCUGACUCCUCCUUUAAAAGUUUCAUAGCAGACUUAGUAGUAAACACUCCAGACGAGAAACCUGUCCAUAUAAUAAGUUGGUCUUCAAAAUCAGGCAUAGUCAUUAUUAGAGUAUUACGAGUUGUAACUUGAAAAGAAAUUUUGGAAAAGUUUUCCCAUCCUUUCAUGACCCUCAGGCCCCAAAAUAUAUACAAAGCAAAGCCAACAUCGAAAAAGGUAAUGGUUCCUAAUUCUACCGUAACUACCAAAAGGAAAUCAAUUCCUACUCUAUCUCGACUACCAAAACAAUUACCAAAGAAUAACUACCAAAAACAGAGCUCCUAUCUUUACGCAAUUACAACCCAAAUAUAUGCACAAAAUAUACACACAAUAUUCUGCAAUCUCCAAUACCCCCCCUCAAGUUGGUGCGUGGAGAUCUCGAACGCCCAACUUGUAAAGAAGAUACUCGAACUGUUGUUUCCCAAGCGCCUUGGUGAAAAUGUCGGCUAACUGCUCUGAACUACGUACAUAUGUAGUUUCUACAUUUCCAUUUUGAACUUCAUUGCGCACAAAAUGACAGUCAACUUCUAUAUGCUUUGUUCGUUCAUGAAACACAGGAUUUGCCGCAAUAUGCAUGGCUGCUUGGCUGUCACAAUAAAGUUUCAUAGGUCUAGAAUGCAUUACCCCUAGAGAACCCAACAACCCCUUCAACCAUUUUAGUUCACAAAUCGUGGUGGCCAUAGAUCGAUAUUCCGCUUCAGCAGAUGACCUGGACACAGUAUAUUGCUUCUUAGUUUUCCAGGAAAUGGGUGAGUUUCCCAGCAAAACAAAAUAUCCAGUGAGUGAGCGACGAGUUAAUGGGCAACUUGCCCAAUCAGAAUCACAGUAUGCGCGCAACUGUAGAUUGCAGUCUGAUCGGAGAAAUAUACCUUGCCCAGGUCUACCUUUCAAGUAACGAACCAUGCGCAAAGCUGCUUCCCAAUGUUCUUCUUUUGGCUUUUGCAUAAACUGAGCAAGAACAUGCACACCAUAAGACAACUCAGGUCGUGUAAGUGUCAAAUAGAUCAAUCUUCCGACUAAACGUCUAUACUUUUCUGGGUCUGUUAAGGGCAUGCUCUCCGCCAUUGCCAAGCGAUGAUUCUGCUCCAUCGGAAAACUAGUUGGUUUGGAACCCAAUAAACCAACUUCAGUAAUAAGAUCCAACGCAUAUUUGCGUUGACAAAGAAAAAUGCCACUCUUAUUUCUGGCAACUUCCAUACCUAAGAAAUAUUUCAAUACUCCCAAAUCUUUCAUAUGAAAGCACUGACAUAAAUAUUUCUUAAAUUUCUGAAUUGCAGCACUAUUAUUUCCCCCAAUCACAAGAUCAUCAACAUACACCAGAAUACAUAUUUGUAUGUUGUUUUGAUUCAGAGUAAACAACGAAUAAUCAGAAUAAGAUUGAGUAAAGCCAUACCGCCGCAAGGCAUUAGUGAGUUUAGCGAACCAACACCUUGGAGCUUGUCGCAACCCGUAAAGAGACUUUCGCAAUCGACAUACCUUUCCUGGUUGGGGAGUUGUAAAACCCGGAGGCAUCUUCAUAUACACUUCCUCUGCUAAAUCUCCAUGUAAAAAUGCAUUGUGAACAUCCAUUUGGUGGAGUUCCCAGUCCUUCGCUGCUGCCACAGACAAGAAAGUUCGAACUGUUACCAUUUUUGCAACAGGAGCGAACGGCUCAUUGUAGUCAAUCCCCUCAACCUGAUUAUUGCCAAGAAUCACCAAUCGUGCCUUAUACCGCUCAAUUGUUCCAUCAGAAUUAUACUUGAUUUUGUACACCCAUUUGCUACCGAUCGCUUUCUUUCCUGGUGGUAGAUCUUCCACUGUCCAUGUCCCAUUCUUUUCAAGCGCCUCAAUUUCACUUGCCAUAGCUUGUCUCCAUCGAGAAUCCUUCACCGCCUCACCAUAAAAGGUUGGCUCUUUACCAGCUGUUACUGCUGCUAAGAAUGAUCGAUGACACAUAGAAAAUUUAUCACAAUUCACAUAAUGCGCUAUAGGAUAAGGAGUACCUGAGAAUGGAAUUGGUGUGGGUAAACAUGCAGAAGGGCUUAUGCGUCUAGCAGUAUAUGUCACAUAAUCUUUUAGACGACUAGAUGAGCGCUUUAUUCGAUGACCUCGCCCAAGUUGUUCAUCAACUGCCUCAAUCUCUUCAGUUCCAGCACCCUCUCUUUCUUCGUUAUUCUCUUCACUGUGAACCCGGUUUGUGAUUUCUGAUGUUUCACUUGGAAUAUCUUCUAUCAGAAUGUCUUCUCUUUUAUCAACCACUUCCUCUAUGGUGCGAUCAAAGACUUCAAAAGAAUUUAGCCCCGGAACACCUCGAGGUGCAUCUGGUGCACUAUCAUAUGGAAACUCAUUCUCUGAAAAUACCACAUCUCGCGAAACAAAGUAUUCACUGGUAUCAAGAUCAUACAAUCUCCAUCCCUUCUUACCAAAAGGAUAUCCCACAAACAAACAACGCCGAGUCUUACUCCCAAAUUUAUCCUUGUCUCGAUUCAAGUUUCGAGCAUAGCACAGACACCCAAAAAUUCGAAUAUGCUUGUAACUGGGUGGUUUGCCAAACAAACAUUCGUAAGGUGUCUUAUUCCCCAGGAGUUUGGAUGGAGUCCGAUUUAUUAAAUAUCCAGCGGUCAGCACACAUUCUCCCCAAAAUUUAAUGGGAAGAUUUGCUUGGAAUCGCAGUGCUCUAGCUACAUUCAGAAUAUGACGAUGUUUCCUCUCAACACGCCCAUUUUGCUGAGGUGUUCCCACACAUGAAGUCUGAUGGAUCAUCCCAUUUUCAGCAAAAUAAUCUUUCAAGCAGGUGAAUUCCUUGCCAUUAUCACUUCUAACAAUUUUCACAUCCUUGUUGUACUGACGUUUGAUCAUAGCAAAGAAAUUUCGAAGUACACGUUCCACUUCAGAUUUAACCAUUAACAAAUAAAUCCACACAGCUCUUGAACAAUCAUCAACAAUGGUUAAAAAAUAUGAUGCACCACAUGAAGCAGGAGUUCGAUAAGGUCCCCAUAGAUCAUAAUGAAUCAUCUCAAAAAUUUCAUUUGCUUGAUUUUCACUAGAAUAAAAUGCUGCCCUAGUCUGCUUGGCCCUUAAACAAAUAUCACAUGGUUUUUCUUUAACUAAACUACUACCACCAGAAUUAACCUGAGAAAGUAACUCUACUAUUUUUGUAGAUGGAUGUCCCAUUCUCCUAUGCCACAGGUCAAUGGUUUCUAGACGAUUUGCAUUACAUGCCUUGAUUUCUGCCAUAGACUUGAGGUAGUAAAGCCCUUCGCGUCGUUCACCCACUCCAAUCACCAUCCUCGAAGCAGGGUCCUGUAUAACGCAUAAUUUUUUAGUGAACAGGAUAAAACAAUCUAAUUCAUCAAGCAAUUGUGACACUGAAAUUAAAUUGCAAUUCAAGUUUGGGACAUAAAGUGCAUUUUUCAACUUUAUGUAUUCACCCAAACGAACCGACCCUUCUUUUAAGGCCAUUGUUUGGUUGCCAUCCGGCAACCCCACUGCACAGCCCAAUAAUUCUUUCAAAUCAGUCAUACAUGCUAAACUUCCUGUCAUAUGGUGGGAGGCGCCUGAAUCAAUUAUCCAGUUCAAAGAAUUCUUACCAGACAACUUCUCAUUGGUACCCGAUUUGCAAGAAUUUAGCAAACUUAAAAAGGCAGCCCACUGGUCGCUACUCAUCAAUCCAUGCGCUGCAUGUUCCCCUUUUGCAGCUUCUGCCGACAAGGAGGACUGACUAACCAUCUGAGCAGAGUUAGCUCUAGGUGCACUCCCACGUCCGCGUCCUGAAUUUUGGUUCCCGCGUCCACGUCCUGAUUCGCGUCCAAUCCCCUUGGGCCGAUCACCCCACCAAUCAGGAUAUCCGAUGAGUUGAAAACAGCUUUCAGCAUCAUGUCCACCACGGUUGCAGUAUGAGCAUAAAACUGACUUAUCCUUUGUCCCAGUUCCAGGUCUUCUGCCUCCUGUGUUGGCAUGAAUAGCAAAGCUCAUGGGUUCCCCACGUCCCUCCUUUUCUUUUGACAUAUUCCGGACACGCUCCUCUUGACAUAUCAAAGAGUAUGCCUUGCUGACACUAGGCAGCGGUUCAGUGCUUAGAAUGUUGGAACAAAUCGUUCCAUACAUCGUGUCGUCCAAACCCAACAAGAAUUGGUGGAGUUUUUCUUCCUCGCGCUUCUUGUCAAAUUGAACUGAGAGAUUGCACGUGCAUCUUCCACAUUGACAUGUCGGAAUCUGAUCAUAGUUCGCAAGUUCUUCCCAUAAUUGCUUCAACCUUCCAUAGUAGGUCACAAUUGGAAGUCCUCGCUGGUUCCACUCUGCAAGUUCCCCUUUGAUCUGUUGAACUCGAGGCCCGUUAGCAAUAGAAAACCUUUCUCGGAUAUCUUCCCACAAAUCGUUUGCGAUCUCCAUAUAAGUUAUGGUAGAUCGUAGAGUUGGUUCUAUGGUAUUGAGAAUCCAUGAUACCACCAUUGAAUUCACAGUCCACCAAUCCUCCAGAUCGGGAGAAUCCUCAUCGGGUUGCUUCACCGUUCCAUCAAUAAAGCCACACUUCUUCUUGGCUCUCAACGCGGUUCGCACUGCUCGAACCCAUUCAUCGUAGUUGUCCCCUUUCAAUUGUACCUGGGUGAUAAUAUUCCCAGGAUUGUCGUUCGCCGUCAAGAUGUAUGGUGAGACAAAUUUUCUUCCUUCACCAUUCUGUUUCUUCGUGUCGUCGUUCAUGGCUCUGAUACCAUGAAAAGAAAUUUUGGAAAAGUUUUCCCAUCCUUUCAUGACCCUCAGGCCCCAAAAUAUAUACAAAGCAAAGCCAGCAUCGAAAAAGGUAAUGGUUCCUAAUUCUACCGUAACUACCAAAAGGAAAUCAAUUCCUACUCUAUCUCGACUACCAAAACAAUUACCAAAGAAUAACUACCAAAAACAGAGCUCCUAUCUUUACGCAAUUACAGCCCAAAUAUAUGCACAAAAUAUACACACAAUAUUCUGCAAUCUCCAAUAUAACUCUUCUUCAUUGUCCUGACCUCAGUUGUUACCCUUCUUCCUAUUGGCUAUUUCCAUCCUCCAUCCAUAAUUAAUAUACUAUCAGAUACUAGAGCAGUGGAUCUGCAACCAAAACUAUGCAGCAGAUUUCCAGUAAAACAUUGCUGUCAACACCCGAGCUCUCCAGAUUGUCCAAAAGGCCACAAAUAAAAUUUCAAAGUAAAAGGCAAUCAAAUCCCAAUUAAAAGCUACAAAUUGAUUUCCGAAACUAAAUAAUAAACCACUCGUACGGUACGUAUAUAUCUUUCCUUGUAUGAACUAUUAUGUUGUACAUGUAUCUAUAGAUGAGACCAGUGAAAAAGUUGAAAAGGAAGAUGGAGAGCAAAAGGAGAUGAAUUGCUGGGGAAAAAAAUGUUGGAGGCGGGAAGGGGAAAGGUUGCAAUAGCAAUGGUUGGGGAAGGAAGGUAAAUGUUGAUCAACAAAGCCAUGUUGAUAAGUUAGAUUGAGAAAUUUCUGAAUCAGUUUUCCACACUAAUAAGUAUCACAAGUAAGCAGUGCAUUGAUGACAUUACUUGUUGUGGUACUUAUUAGUAUUUCUCUUAAAUUAAGCUAAUGUUCUAUUAUUUUUUCCCAAGACUUGAGUUUGGAGUUAGGACACAUAGUGAUACCCAUAAUCACAAAAACUCCCCCUAAGAUAUAAGUAGAUCUGCAGUUCAUCCCCUAGUUAUUGUUAGGGUUAAUCGCACUUUAUCCCCUUUAAGUAUGGAUCAUUUCUCAAUUUACCCCCCAACGUUUGUUUUUUCAUAGUUUAUCCCCUCUGUCAGUCCAGCUAAGCAAUUGCACCGUUAAAAACUACAAGAUGCCGAAAUUGCCAUUGGAAGAGAGCGUUUGUUUUGGCUGACUAAAAUGUCUCUCAAUGAGUUAUAAAAAGGGAUGUCUGAUGCUUUUUAGCCUAUUUUUUCUCUUUCAUGCUUCCAUCUAGUUGCAGUCUAUUUUUUCUCUUUCAUUUCAACAGACCCAAUAGCUCCUAAAAUUUUUCUUUGUCAACCAAAAGUAUCAUAAAAAUGUCACAAAGUGCUUCAACUAACAUUGAAAGAUCGCCCAAAAAAAUGUGUGGAUAUGGUAAAGAGGCACUAUUGUGCACCUCUUGGACACUUGAAAAUCCGGGAAGAAGAUUUUACUGCAGCUCAAAUUACAAUGUAAGAAUUUUUAAUUAAUAAUAUGUUAUUAUUGUUUUUAAUUUUGCUCUAUACAUGAAUAAGUCAUAAAGAGUUUUAGACAGUAAUAUUUUCUUUUUAUUCAGAACUGACAUGCAUGUGAGCACUUUUCAUGGGUAGAUAGAGGAGAGAGAAAAGAUGGAGGGAAAGUGGCUGACAGAGGAGAGAGAAAAGAUGACCCAUAAUUAAAAAAGGUUUUGUACCUUUUAUCUUCCGAAUUUCUUUUUUUUUUGUCCCAUGUGCCAGAUGGAGGGAAAUUUCCCUCCUCCAUUAUUCUAUGGUAAUUUUGGAAACUUUUCUUUAUCCCUUUCACAAACCUAGAGAUAUGGAUAUUUUGGGUUGUUCAUUAUUUUCUUAAGGGUAUUACUGUCUUUUCAUUAUUCUGUUUGUCUUCAUUAGGGUUGACCAUUAGUCUUUGGGGUAAACUGUGAAAAAACAAAUGUUGGAGGGUAAAUUAAGAAAUGGCUCAUAUGUAAAGGGGAUAAAGUGCGAUUAACCCUUAUUAUUAUUCUUUUUAGGGUUAAUCACAUUUAAUCCCCUUAAGAUAUACCCCAUUUUUCAGUUUACCCCCUAACCUUUAAUUUUGCUCACUUAACCCUUUAUAGGACAAAAUUGCCCUUGCAUUAUUUUGACUUUUCAUUUACCUUGUUUUCCUCUCUUUUAUUUCUUUUUCUCUUUUUUUUUAUUUAAUUCUUCCUCUUUUCCACAAAAAUUUUCACCUUAAUGAUUGAAAUUAAAAAAGAGGAAUUGCAGAGAUCUAUCUUCUCCUUAAAUGAUUAAAAAAAAUAUUCAAAUCACUUUCCUAAAAUACAAUUUUUUUAGCCUUUCAAUUCUUUUAAUUUUGGGUUUUGCUCUUUCCUUUCUAGUUUCUCAUUUUAUUCUCAAGAAAAUAUCUUAAGAUGAAAUUGUGACCUGAUUAAUAUGUCCUUUGUAAUUUACUAAAAGAUAAGGAAUAAAGUGAAAAAGAGUAGUAAAUAAUAAAUAUGCUCCGAGCUUUUUAAGAUGACCAAUUUUACAAGACACGGAAAAAUGGUAAACAUGUCACUCUAAUUUCGUUUUAUAAGGACAUUUUUUUUAUAUUAAUUGUAUUACCGUUGAUGUUUUAUGGAUUCUCCAAUGGACGGUGCUGGUUUUUAGUAAAUAAUUUUUUAGUAUUCAUUUAGAUCUUUUCAUUACAAGAUCGGAUGAUGAAAUGAGACCAAAAUUGCUUUUCGGGACAACAAUGGAACCACAGUUUCAAACAAGAUUCAUUUAGUCUCGCAAGGAAAGACAAGCAGCAUUUUAUUCUGAGCCUUAACUGCGAAUAUAUAGUUGAACCAAACAUGCAAGACUCCAAAAAACAUUCAGACAAAACAGCACCAUCAAACCAUAACAUACAAGUAUCAGAUUGACUCUGGAGGAGUUGGCAGCACAUUAAUCAGUUGUAGGCAUCAGGAUUUGCCUGGAGGUAGGUCUCGACAGCCUUGAACAUGGCCAAGGCCCUCUCUUUUGCUGACUUAAUUUUCUCUUUCCCUGCCUCAGCUUGUUCUUCUGUAACCUGGACGCUAUCCUUGAUGUGGUAUGUGCUGCUGGUUUUGCAGAUAGACCCUCCAUCAGCGGAGGCUUCGAUUUUGAUGACACAGGUGAUCUUCUCAAGCUCAGCACUGAAGGCAUCGCUUUCAGUUACAGUAUAGGUGUAGGUGAAGUUGUUCUUAUCAAGUCCAUCGACUCUGUGCUUAGCACUCUUAAUAUGGCAACCUGAUUAGAUUUAAAGUUUAUCAUUAGUUUUUAUGCAUGUACUACAAAAACGAUGUGCAUAAAUGAUUUACUAUUACGUAGAAUGAUAAAUGUUCAAUGGCCGGGAAAACUAUGAAAAUGAUUAAGUGCCUGCAUAGAACUAACAAACCUUCGCCAAAAGUAAUCAAUUUAAUGGUUCCAACACCUCCAUCUCCUUCAAUGAUCUCGACGCUCUUGAUGGCCUGUGGAAAGACCUUGGGAAUGAGGUUGUCAUCAAGGAUGAAGGCCUUGAACAAUCUUGCAGGAGGGACAGAGGAGGUGACCUCAUAAUCACAAGUGAUAGGUGCCAUGAUGCCUUAAUUUGGCGUUUGGGAUGUUUCAAGAAGGGUUUAGACUUGAGCUAGUUCUUGUGGUGCAAAGUAAUGUAAUGAGAGACGGUAUUUAUAGAAUGAAGUUAUUGUCUGACUUGAAACAGAAAACAAUAGGAUGUUAAAUUGUUAAUAGUUAAAUCCAACUAGUGAAGGUAUUACAAGUUGGACUUAGCUUUAUGCUUUGCUAAGUGAACCCAAGUAAGAAAUCCUAAUUAAGUUGACUUCGUGGUCAGUCUUGUAAAUUUAAAAUGUGAGUCCUCGUUGGGUGGCCAAAUAGUUAUAUUCAGCAUUUGGUAAAAUUCAAUUUUUAAUAUUACGUAAUUAAGCAGCACAAAUUUAAAGAAAAAAAAUGCUGAAUUUGUCUAACUUGGUGCUUAAUUAAUAAUAAUAAUUCUUCAUGAAUUUUUAUUGGCUUUCUGCAAUUGACAAAUUUGACCAAUUUAACACUUCACCUUUGUUUGAUAAUUCAAUUCAGCACUUAAAUUUAGUGUAUUCAAAUCUAAAUAUGUUUAAACGCGUUUGAUAAUGAAAAAUUGAAUAUCUGAAUUAAUUAGUAGCACUGAAUUUCGUAAGCAAAACUUGCUUCCAAAAAUAAGUGAUAAUUCAUUCACUUAUCACUUAAUGUGAUAUACACUCAAAUGUAUCCGAUUUAAGACUUAACGAUUGAAUAACUUAACGGAUUCAAAUUUCAGAUUUUAGUUUUAUCGAACGCACCCUCAGGACAUGCUGAUUAAAAAACAAAAAUCUCACCAUGUUGAUUAAAUUCGAAACUUUGUUGUUGUUAAAAAUGUUUCUCCUCAAAUUAACAUCAACAAGUGGAUGUGAGAUUCAAAUGUGACAAAAACAUCUCUCAUACGCAUGUCAUGGACAUUUGAAUAUUUUGAUAGAAAAAUUUUGUGUUGUGAAAACUACAUGGUAUUCCUUUUGAUAAUUAUUUUAUGUUUUUCUUUUUUUGGUACAUGAAAUGAUUUUAUUUUAAAUUCUACAAUAGACUUCAAUGGGCGUGUAAUUUUUUAAAGUGGUUCCAAUAAUUCUUUUUUAAGGGCAUUCUUCUAAAAGAGAAAAAAAAAAUAAAAGAUCUUCUUUUUAAGCAUUGUUUCUACUAAUUGUUACUUUGAGGUUGUUGAUAUCUUAUGGCUAAACAAUUAGUGCAAAACCAUUAGUCAAGGGGGGACAGUACAAAUGGCAAUCAAACAUUUGAGGGGUUUAAUGAUUCAGGCCAAAAAAGAAGAAGCAAAUGUAGAAUGGGAAUGAAGCACAAGUGCUAGGUACUACAUGAUUUACCGCUAGAUAGAUGCAUGAGACUGCUGCCACCACUGGUUUGUUUAUUUUUGGGUUAAUCAUAAUUACUUUCCCUGAAGUUUAACCAAACUACUACCAUCUGAUUCCAGAGAUUUGGCAAAACUAUAAAUAAAGGUCCCUCAAACUAAAAAAUAUAGAACAGGUACGGUACACCCUCUUCGUUAGUCAAUUGAUGAUGACUGUUAAAAUUUUAACAAUGUUAACAUGCAAUUUUAAUAAAAUUCCUAGAUAGCAUAACCUUAUUCCCUGUUUGUUGCCCCUCUUCAAAUACAUGCCACCAUCCAUCCAUUAACAUAGCUAUGACAGCUUAACAAUUGGCACGUACUAUCAAUGCCCUCUUACAUGUCAAUCCAUAGGGACUUACAUAGUAAUAGAUAGAUGAAAACACAGGGACGUACAUAGUAAAUUACUAAUUUAACCUAUAAAAUUUUUGCAUCGAUCCUCCGUACUUUUUUUUAACAGCUUUAAUUACAGGAUUUUGGACGCUUUGCACGCUAAAGUUAUCAAUUGUUAUUACUUUGUAUCUCAUAAUUUUAUUUAAAACUCACUAAGCUUGAAGUUAUUAGAAUCUUUAAAUCACCCUAGCUAACAGCUAAGUUGUUGGUAAGAGUUGAAGCAGAACAGCGCAAGGAAAAAAUUGGGAAGCAGAUAUGUGUUUAAGUAUGUAUUAUGUUUUCCAAUUAGGCGUACGUAAUGCUAUUUACUUCAAGUUUGAAAAUUUUAUGAAUGUGAAAUGGGAUUAUUUCAUAAUAUUUCAAUAAACCAAAUGAAGAUGCUCAAUUUGGAAUAGUAGAAGCAAAUUAUUGCAUGAAGUACGUAAUAUAAUUUAAUUUAUGAAAUUUAAACAAUAAAAACAUUGAAUACUAGCUAAAAAGGUAAAAAGAGCUUAUAAACACACACACACACACACACAUGAUCGUAUAUGUAUAUGUACAUACGUCGGAGUUUGAAGUAGAACUAGUCUUUUUUCUACCGGUUGUAAAUGUUGAAUUAUACUGGGUGUCUAAAUGCACGCAUGCAUGCAAGCAAUAUGUAUGGAAAAGAUCAUAAAAACUUUAAAAUUGUUGUGUUGCGUAUUUUAGAAUCUACUUGUGUAAACAAAUUUAACAUUCCUUUAAUAUGUACAAAUUGAGGCGAUUAUAUGAUACAAAUUUGGUUUUAGUUGUUUGGAUUAAUACAAAGAAUUGUGUUUGACGCUCUUGUUUUGUCAUAGUGCUGUUUUCUCGUGUUUUUCCUUCUUGUUAAGUGUUGAAGGUGCUAUUCAAUUUAAAGGCUCUAUUAAUGAUCUCAACAAAACGGCAGGAGAUAGUAAUUUUGGUAGGUUGGAGAUCUCACGGGCUUGAAUGAAGAAUGUAAGCUGAAAAAGCGUAGCUAAAUGAAAAACGUACAAAUUGAAGCCUUCCAUCAGCCAAAAAAAACUAGGAGGACUUGAGCGCUAAAAAGGACUUGGCAACACUGAAUUCAGCAGGCAAAGAAGCUCGUUACCGCCGCCGCCACGACAAAAUGGUCAAGCGACGGGCGACGAAACUUCAAUAGUUAACGGGUAAACGACGCCCGCCGGUAUUUAAUAUUUAUAGAGGACGUCAUUCUCCCUUGUCGAAGGGAACUUUCCUGCAACUUUUGGGCAUCCCUUUUGGUCCCUUUGACGUGGUUCCAACAUGUUUGGUCUGAUGCUCACUUUUUCCCUUUUAUUUUUUUGGGGUGUAAACCUUUCAAUGUCUUGAUGAUUAAUCCAGAAUCAAGCACUUUUGAACUCUUCAAGGUUGUUUUCUCCAUUCACAAGACUAGAACCCCAUUUGGCAAGUAAAUUUUUUGGGUGUUUGUCUAAAACUUUACUGUAUCUUAUUGUAGAAGUUUUUAAAAAAAUUUUUGAAGUUUGUUUUUUUUUUAAAUAUUUUGAAAUUUAUAGUUUAAAAUUUUUGAAAAUUUUUUUGAGAUUACUGUAGCUAAAGUUUUUAAAAAACUUGUAACAGAUAAACUUGGCAAAAAACUUGUCUUUCAAACAAGAAACUAACUCAAGAUCCUUUUAAAUGGGUAUCAAAUUCCGUCAUCGACCUCUUGACUGAACAAUUGUUGGUACAGUUAGGGGUGGCAAUGGGGCGGGGGAUCCCUCCCCCACCCCCCACCCCAUUGCCUAUUAAUUCCUCCUGCCCCCGCCCCGUCACCCACCCCCCGCUUGCCCUGCCCCGCCCCGUUGGUUAAAAAAAAUUUAUUAUAUAAUUUCAUUAUAAUUAAAUUUGAGCAAAUAAUCAAGUACUAAAAUAUUAACAUAUUACCAAAUUAUUAUUCAUUGUAACUUCACAAUUGAAACUCAUAAAAAUAAUUAAACAAAAGUUAGUUGAAUACAAUCUAAUAUGAUAAAACAAAUAUAACUAAAACAAUCAAGUUUUUACUUUUGAUACAAAUACAAUCACUAAAUUAUUAUUGUGUUUUUUUAGAAAAAAAUGUGAUUGUAUUAAGUGUAGUUAGGAAUUUAAUAUAAAUGUAUUAAUAAAUUUAGUAUAAAUAAUUAAUAAUUUUUAUUAAUAGAUAUGUAUAAUUAGUAGUAUAAUUGAUAAUAUCAUUAUAUAUAUAUCUUUUUUUUCCAAACGAGUAUACUUCCCUGCCCCAAACCCUGUCCCAAUAGACCCCCGCGAGCCUUCACACCCGUUGCCAUCCCUAGGUACAGUCACUGGUCAAAUGGAUGGAGAAAUCAAGAGAUUGAGGAACAAGAUGAAGAUGGCAAGGAGUCAGGUGACUAUGAUAGAUUUAGUGACAGUGAGUAUGAGUUCCAAAAUGAAAAAGAUGAUGAUGCUAUUUAUAUAUUCAAAUAUAAAGAAGUAGUAUUAUUAUAGGAAACAAAAAUCAAGAACAAUAUUCCAUGCCAUCACUUUUGCCCAUGGUUCAAAGUUGUGGUCGCGGUUGCGGUGGCGGCUCAAAUUAUUUCACAUCGAUCUCUAUAUAUCAGUCGCGAUUUUGACAAAAUACAAAUUUUUGAAAUAUUUAAUAUUUUAAAAAUGAUAAAAAAAUAAUUUAAAAAUUAGCAAAAAUAAUAAAAUUUUGACCUGAUUCGAAAAGACUCGGGGCCACUAGGGCAUUUCUAUCCGUUUUGGAGACGUCUCGACCGAGUUUUCGACGAUUCAUUAUCUCAAAAUCAUCUCGUCCCGAUAUCGGAUCAGGAAGCUCGUUUCAGUCUCGGUCUCGGCCGAGUCCUUGAACCAUGCUUUUGCCUUCGGUUUCCUGUUCUGAAGAUGAACCAAAUGUGAAGCCUGAAAACUGCAGCUUUUGUUCUGUGGUGUAAUCUAUCAUCACUUUCAUAUCUUCGGUUAAAAGAUUCUUCCAAUCGCCAACAACUCCUUUCCUGAAAAAUGAAUUGUUAUACACCCGAGCUUUCUGAAAAAAACCACUCUUGUUCACCUCCAAAUUGCUCAAAUUUCUGAAGCUGCACAUUCCUAUUAUUUUCUCGGGGACACCUUCAAUCUCUUCCUCCUGGGAAAAUGGCUUCCCCAUGAACUCAGCCAAUUUCUUCACGUAAAAAAGUUCAUCUUUCUUCAGCUCUUCAUACUUCAAGAACAGCACAGUCUCGGGCCUUUCAAUGCUAGCUCUCCAGAACCCCAAGACAUGGUCCCAGUAAGGUCCAAAUCCAGACUUGCCCUGGCAGAACAGCUCUAAUUCCUCCUCCAGGGAAGGAGCCGGUUCCCUUGCAUCUGGCCCCGCAGAGAGAUGUUUCAAUGUUUGUAACAUAUGCCAAUAUGAAGUGAACGUGUCCUUUGGUUCCCUACAUAUGUAAAUAAUCUUACAUCCUGAUUCUAGUAUAGAUUUUGGCAAGGAUGUAUAAGGGAUAUGGGUG